rnacentral:rRNA from 1 species
UAACACGUGAGCAACCUGCCUUUCUANAGGGGGAGUAACAGUUGGAAACGACUGCUAAUACCGCAUAACGCUGCGAUGGGGCAUCCCGAUGCAGCCAAAGGAGCAAUCCGCUGAAAGAUGGGCUCGCGGCCGAUUAGCUAGUUGGUGGGGCAACGGCCCACCAAGGCGACGAUCGGUAGCCGGACUGAGAGGUUGAUCGGCCACAUUGGGACUGAGACACGGCCCAGACUCCUACGGAAGGCAGCAG